rnacentral:ncRNA from 3 species
UGACUGAACGCCUCUAAGUCA